AUCUGCUCCUGUACCACGGUUGACCACGUGUAACCAAAACCACAGGAAGCACAACCGUGGAUAAGAGGGGACAACUGUACGUGAAAUAGAAAAGACUCAGGGCAUAAAGACCCUGCAUAUCAUAGGAAAGACCUGUUUGGAGAUUUGCUGGAGGUGACCAGUUGGAGGAGAAUACCGAAGAAGGCGAUGUGUCAAGGUCACGCAGCUUGAAGGUUUGGCAGAUUCCAGAGGCUGACCACAUCAUGCCUGUGCUGUGGAAUCACUGGCUCUGGGGAAGACAGCUGUUGUGUUGUGUUGUGGAGACACCAAAGAAGCCCCACAGAAAGGACCACGUAGCAAGGAACCAAGGCCACCUGCCAGUCGCCAGUGAGGAACUAAGUCCUCGUGCCAUGGCAGAAAUCGAUGCUGUGGAGGAAAAGAGAAAGUGUCAAUGCCGUGGGCUCCCAGCUCCUGUGUCCACAGCACUUGGGGGACAAGCUGGAAGCACGAAGAAGGAGUCAGACUCAUCUUGGAUACCUAGCCCCCACAGCGCCUGGGGAGAAC